GGGUAAACAAUUUUUCUGCCCUUCACCUUCCAUAUCUAUGAAAUAAGGACAAUAAUACUUACUAGACAGGAACCUCUGCCUUUUUCCACUAUCAACACUUCCCUGGCCUCUGGAGACAUGACUUCUUAAUCCUCCUCCAAUACAUCUUUUUGUAGCAAAACUGAAAAGAAGCUAGCUGUGUGGAAGGAGGGGCUGGUCUUACAGACUCCUGAUGAACCUGUGAUAUUCUUGCUCUGCUGCAACACAACAGACGCUCCUCUCUUCUGCCUGGGUCUGCCCUUGAGACACAGUAAUGGGUGGUGCAAGGCCCUGCGGCAGCAUCAGGCAUUCGCUCCAUGCCCAGAGCUGACAGAGUGUCCUGAGUGAUGGCACAGCACCCCCAAACACACCGGCGGGGCCUCCGUCUAUAGCCGCACCAGACGACAGUGACUCUAACCUCCAC